GGGCUUGCCUGCUUCUCUCUGCAGCUCUUGUGGCUGCAUCUUGUUUUCUGUAGUCCCAUGAGCUCCGAUGAGCAGGAAGGACCUCUUUGAUCUGUGAGGACUGGGGAGCAGGCUAAGUUCCCUGGGCACCCAUGUCCCGAGCACACUUGUAAGAGGCUGGACUUGGUCUUGGUCUUGGGGAGUAAGGCUUUGGAUCAUUCAGAAUGAGGCAGCAUUUGACAUCAAAGUGGUCACCUCCACAGCCGGUUUGUCCUGCUUAAUACUCAGAAGGAAGCAGAGGGACCAUCAGCCACCCGCAGAGAGCCUAUGGUCUACCUCCUAUGAAAGAAUGCACGAGCAGGUGAGAAGGAGACAAGGAACAUCAGUACACCACCUCUCACACUAGAGAUGCUCCACCUCCAACAUACUCAGCUGACUCUGCUGACUCCCUGGAUCUUCCUGAGCUGAUCCAGCCAGCUAAAGCACUUCCAUGUUCUCUGGGGUCUCAUUUUACCACCACUGAGGAAUCCUGGAAGGUUUCACCACGCCAGUAGGAUCCUGGGUCCUGUGAGUGUUAGAUGUCUGAUGUACCAUCCCUUGUGCAAUGGAGCCAGCCACCUUCCUAUGAAGAACAUUCAACUUGUUGAAAAGGGUAUUCUUCCAUCAACUCAAUCUUGGGGUAUUUGAAAGGGUGUGUUUCCAAGCCCCAUGGAUGGAUCUCCAUGCUCACUCCUCCUCCAGGACUGUGUUACCUUAAUGAAGAUAUAACAAGGUUUAAUAUCAAGUGGCUGUGUCCUUCCCUGUAUCCUCCCUGCUUCCAACAGCUCCUGAUCACAUGUCUUUCCCCAUCAACUUUGAUGGUCCUCCCUAGAAACCCUUGGGGGAAUUUUGAUGGUCAUGUUCUUAAAGCUGUGAGUCAAACUGGGAGGAGGCAAUCCCUUGCUUGUGGUACAUCUUCUGCUCUGUGAACAUGGCAUGCCUCUCUAUGUGACCUAUGCAACUUUUCCUUGGUUUGUUCUAUCAGCAUUUUAUAAAUGAAAGAAAAAAUGAAAUUGC
rnacentral:lncRNA from 1 species